rnacentral:rRNA from 1 species
UCGACUACAUGAAGCUGGAAUCGCUAGUAAUCGCGGAUCAGAAUGCCGCGGUGAAUACGUUCCCGGGUCUUGUACACACCGCCCGUCACACCAUGGGAGUCAGUAACGCCCGAAGCCGGUGACCCAACCUAUUCUGGAGGGAGCCGUCGAAGGCGGGACGGAUGACUGGGGUGAAGUCGUAACAAGGUAUC